rnacentral:rRNA from 1 species
AGAGUUUGAUCCUGGUCCUAAUUGUUUCCUGGCGGCAUGCUUAAUACAUGCAAGUCGAACGGUAACAGAUUCUUCGGAAUGCUGACGAGUGGCGGACGGGUGAGUAAUACAUAGGAAUCUGCCCAUGUAGUGGGGGACAACUUGGGGAAACUCAAGCUAAUACCGCAUAAUUCCUACGGGAUAAAGAGGGCCACUGCUUGCAAGCUCUUGCUACUGGAUGAGCCUAUGUCGGAUUAGUUAGUUGGUAAGGUAAUGGCUUACCAAGACAGCGAUCCGUAGCUGGUUUGAGAGGAUGAUCAGCCACACUGGGACUGAGACACGGCCCAGACUCCUACGGGAGGCAGCAGUAGGGAGUAUUGGACAAUGGGCGCAAGCCUGAUCCAGCAAUGCCGCGUGUGUGAAGAAGGCCUGCGGGUUGUAAAGCACUUUCAAUUGGGAAGAAAGAUUAUGAGUUAAUACCUUAUAAUAUUGACGUUACCAAUACAAGAAGCACCGGCUAACUCUGUGCCAGCAGCCGCGGUAAUACAGAGGGUGCGAGCGUUAAUCGGAAUUACUGGGCGUAAAGAGUACGUAGGUGGUUAAAUCAGUCGGAUGUGAAAGCCCCAGGCUUAA